UGCAUCAGUGAUGACCACUUCUGGCUUAUGAAUUAUAAAUGAAUAUUUUUUCCUGAAAGUCUGAAGUAUUU
ensembl:snoRNA